rnacentral:rRNA from 1 species
UACGAAGGGGGCUAGCGUUGCUCGGAAUCACUGGGCGUAAAGCGCACGUAGGCGGAAUGCUAAGUCAGGGGUGAAAUCCUGGAGCUCAACUCCAGAACUGCCUUCGAUACUGGGAGCUCGAGUCCGGGAGAGGUGAGUGGAACUGCGAGUGUAGAGGUGAAAUUCGUAGAUAUUCGCAAGAACACCAGUGGCGAAGGCGGCUCACUGGCCCGGUACUGACGCUGAGGUGCGAAAGCGUGGGGAGCAAACAGG